UACGUAGGGUGCGAGCGUUAAUCGGAAUUACUGGGCGUAAAGCGUGCGCAGGUGGUUCGUCAAGUCUGAUGUGAAAUCCCCGGGCUCAACCUGGGAACUGCAUUGGAUACUAGCGAGCUUGAGUGUGGCAGAGGGGGGUGGAAUUCCACGUGUAGCAGUGAAAUGCGUAGAGAUGUGGAGGAACACCGAUGGCGAAGGCAGCCCCCUGGGCUGACACUGACACUCAGGCACGAAAGCGUGGGGAGCAAACAGG
rnacentral:rRNA from 1 species